rnacentral:rRNA from 1 species
ACUCAAAUGAAUAGACGGGGACCCGCACAAGCAGUGGAGUAUGUGGUUUAAUUCGAAGCAACGCGAAGAACCUUACCAGGUCUUGACAUCCCAAUGUAAGCAUUAGAGAUAGUGCCCCUCUUCGGAGCAUUGGAGACAGGUGGUGCAUGGUUGUCGUCAGCUCGUGUCGUGAGAUGUUGGGUUAAGUCCCGCAACGAGCGCAACCCUUAUGCUUAGUUGCCAGCACGUUAUGGUGGGCACUCUAAGCAGACUGCCGGUGACAAACCGGAGGAAGGUGGGGAUGACGUCAAAUCAUCAUGCCCCUUAUGACCUGGGCUACACACGUACUACAAUGGCCAGUACAACGGGCUGCGAAACCGCAAGGUGGAGCGAAUCCCAACAAAGCUGGUCUCAGUUCGGAUUGCAGGCUGCAACUCGCCUGCAUGAAGUCGGAAUUGCUAGUAAUCGCGGAUCAGCAUGCCGCGGUGAAUACGUUCCCGGGUCUUGCACACACCGCCCGU